UAAUAUUCUAUUAUAUAAACGUACCAGUUUUGUCUCUUCUAGAUAAUGCUAUCUGCUCACACAACUCCCAACUUUCCUCGGGAGUAAGGAUUGUUGGUGUAAAGGCAAAACAUGUUGGGUCUGCAUGUAAACCAACACCUCCAUUGCGAGAAGUAAGAAUCAUUUUCCAACCUGCAAAUUGUAAUUUCCUUUUAAGUCAGGGAUUAAAAGGCAUUUAUGAAACUUUUAAGUAAAUCACUUAAGUAAUGUAUGAAAAAGUAAAGAGCUCGCCUCUUUCUUGGGGGAAAACGUCUUUUAUUAGAUCCCAGUCUUCAUUUUUCCAUACAUCAUCGAUGACAAUUAAAUGUCUAGAUUUUCCCAGCAAUAGAAAGAGCUCUGCCUGGAGU